ensembl:snRNA U6 U6 spliceosomal RNA
GUGCUCACUUCAGAAGCACAUAUACUAAAAUUGGAAUGAUCCAGAAAUUACCAUGGUCACUGCACAAGAAUGACAUGCAAAUUCCUGUAGCAUUCCAUAUUUCU